AGAGUUUGAUCAUGGCUCAGAACGAACGCUGGCGGCAGGCUUAACACAUGCAAGUCGAGCGCCCCGCAAGGGGAGCGGCAGACGGGUGAGUAACGCGUGGGAACAUACCCUUUGGUUCGGAAUAACUCAGGGAAACUUGAGCUAAUACCGGAUACGUCCGUAAGGAGAAAGAUUUAUCGCCAAAGGAUUGGCCCGCGUCCGAUUAGCUAGUUGGUGAGGUAAACGGCUCACCAAGGCUACGAUCGGUAGCUGGUCUGAGAGGAUGAUCAGCCACAUUGGGACUGAGAUACGGCCCAGACUCCUACGGGAGGCAGCAGUGGGAAUAUUGGACAAUGGGGGCAACCCUGAUCCAGCAAUGCCGCGUGAGUGAUGAAGGCCUUAGGGUUGUAAAGCUCUUUGCCAGGGAAGAUGAUGACUGUACCUGGAGAAUAAGCCCCGGCUAACUUCGUG
rnacentral:rRNA from 1 species